GACGAACGCUGGCGGCGUGCUUAACACAUGCAAGUCGAACGGAAAGGCCCUGCUUUUGUGGGGUGCUCGAGUGGCGAACGGGUGAGUAACACGUGAGUAACCUGCCCUUGACUUUGGGAUAACUUCAGGAAACUGGGGCUAAUACCGGAUAGGAGCUCCUGCUGCAUGGUGGGGGUUGGAAAGUUUCGGCGGUUGGGGAUGGACUCGCGGCUUAUCAGCUUGUUGGUGGGGUAGUGGCAUACCAAGGCUUUGGCGGGUAGCCGGCCUGAGAGGGUGGCCGGCCACAUUGGGACUACGAUACGGCCCAGACUCCUACGGGAGGCAGCAGUGGGGAAUAUUGCACAAUGGGCGGAAGCCUGAUGCAGCAACGCCGCGUGCGGGAUGACGGCCUUCGGGUUGUAAACCGCUUUCGCCUGUGACGAAGCGUGAGUGACGGUAAUGGGUAAAGAAGCACCGGCUAACUACGUG
rnacentral:rRNA from 1 species